rnacentral:rRNA from 1 species
UACGGAGGGGGUUAGCGUUGUUCGGAAUUACUGGGCGUAAAGCGCAUGCAGGUGGUUUGUUAAGUCAGAUGUGAAAGCCCGGGGCUCAACCUCGGAAUAGCAUUUGAAACUGGCAGACUAGAGUACUGUAGAGGGGGGUAGAAUUUCAGGUGUAGCGGUGAAAUGCGUAGAGAUCUGAAGGAAUACCGGUGGCGAAGGCGGCCCCCUGGACAGAUACUGACACUCAGAUGCGAAAGCGUGGGGAGCAAACAGG